rnacentral:rRNA from 1 species
CGAGUGAAAGGAUUUUUCGCCUAAAGAAAGCUUGCGCUUGUUGGUAAGUAAUGGCUACCAAGGCGCGAUCAGUAAGAGGACGAUCGACACACUGAACUGAGACCGGUCCAGAGAGGCAGCAGUGGGAAUUUUCGCAAUGGGGAAAGCCUGUACCGCGUGAGGAUGACGGCUAUGGGUUGAAACCUCUUAGGAACAAAAUACGUGUACCGAAGAAUAACAUCGGCUACAGCAGCCGCGUAAGACGGAGAUGCAAGUUUAUCCGGACGUAAAGCGUCGUAGGUGGUAAAUAAGUCACUGUUAAAUCAACCUCAAAUCGCAGUCGAACUAUUCGCUAGAGUAUAAAGGAUUUCCAGUGGAGCGGUGAAAUGCCGUAUAGAUUUGGAAAGAACA